UUUGAUAGCUCUUGGAUGGCCUGGAUCAGACAGGCUCCUGGAAAAGGACUGGAGUGGAUUGCAACUAUUAGAUAUGACAGUGCUGAGAUCUCCUACUCUCAGUCAGUUCAAGGCCAGUUCACCAUCUCCAGAGACAACAGUAGAGAGCAGCUGUAUCUGCAGAUGAACAGUCUGAAGUUUGACAAUUCUGCUGUUUAUUAUUGUGCUCUUCAAGUCACAGCGGAUCGUUUUGAUUACUGGGGAAAAGGCACGAUGGUUACAAUUACAUCAGCCACACCACGUGCACCGACUCUGUUUCCCCUGGCACCAUGUGGCUCUGGGACUGGAGACAUGGUCACUCUUGGCUGCCUCGCCACCGAGUUCACACCCAGCUCAGUGACCUUCUUAUGGACCAAAAGUGGGACUGCCUUGACGGACUUCAUCCAGUAUCCUCCAGUACAGAAAGGCGAAUUUUAUAUGGGAGUCAGUCAAGUCCAAGUGAGGAGACAGGACUGGGAGGCAAAGCUACCUUUUAAGUGUGCUGUGACACAUCCAGAUGGAAGUCCUUCCAUCGACGUUAUUCCACCUCCACCACCUGCCAGAGAUUUGCCAACUCUUAAAGUGGCCUCCACUGUUGGUGGAAGCGAGGUUUCCUUCUCCUGCUAUGCCAAAGAUUUCUCACCAAAAGAAUAUGAGAUCAAAUGGCUGAAAGAUGACGGGGAUGUCCUCAACAAAGUAUAUGAGAUCAAAACACCCAUUAAGGAAAGCCAGAACGAUGGAAAGACACUGUACAGUGUAGCAAGUUUUCUCAUGGUACCCACCAGUGACUUGAGACCUAAUUCCACUAAGUUUACAUGUGAGUUUAAGUUGAAAAAUGAAAACGCACUUGUGAAAACUGUGACCUACGGAGGGUCAUGUCCUGAGCCAACUCCUAUCACAGUGACACUGAACCCUCCAAGUCCCAAAAAGUUUUUCAACAACGACCAAGCAGAGUUGGAGUGUAUCGUUGAAGGACAAGACAACACCAUUGUAUCUGAGACUGAAAUUACUUGGCAGAUUGAUGGAAAAAAUGUGGCCGGUAAUAUGGGACUGCCAAAGACUGCAGGCAGUCAGUACAGCAAAACAAACACGCUGACUCGUUCUCUCACUGAGUGGCUGCAAGUCAACACAGUGCGCUGUUCUGCAAAAAGAAAAGACGUGACAGUUACUAAAGAUCUGACUCUCCACAAAGGAGAUCGGAGCGAGCCAAAAGUGGCAGUCCACAUUCUCUCAGAGGAGGACAUCAGAGAAAACUCAGAUGUCACUCUGGUGUGUCUGGUCUCCAGUUCUGUGCAGAAGGAUUAUUACAUAGCCUGGUCAGACGAUGCUGGACAAAAAACUGGGAACUACGUUGAUGGCAUCACCUUCCUCCCUCAGAAGACCCAACAUGGCUACUCAGUUACAAGUGUUUACACCAUCAAGAAGGACAAGUGGAACCAGCAGCGCUCUGUUUUCAACUGCAACGUCUGGCCUGUUCGCAGCAAUAAGUCCAUGAUAACACGAGGAGUGUCGAAAGCCACGGAAAUGAAUAUUGCUGUGAGUUGCACAGAUGAUUCCACUGAAGAGGACGAGUUCAGCAGCCUGUGGUCCACAACCUCCUCCUUCAUAUUCCUCUUCAUAUUCACUCUCUUCUAUAACAUGAUAUUCAGUCUGGUCAAGAUGAAGAGUCAAUAAAGGAUGAGAUGGAUGUGCAGCAUAAACAGCUACAGGUCUUCAUUUGUUUCUUGUCUUGUUUAAAUCUACUUUUUAAAAUGUGUGCAUAAUCAAUGAUCUACUGUUUAUUUCCAAAAUAAAUGGUCUUAAAACAUAAUGAUUAACUAUGUCACUGAAAAUGGAUGUAUCUCUAACCUGUAAAAAAACAAAGAAACAAAAAAUAAAUAAAUAAAAAUAAGACUGCUACAAAUUAUAUGAAGAUUUUUUACUGCAUAGGUUUCUGUUGUGACAUAAGGACUAUAGAUCAUGGAAGUGUGAUAUUCAUUUUCAUUGGUAUGUAAAUAACAAAUUGUAUUGAAGGAAAAAUAGAUAUUUUCUACACAUUGUUUUGUGUUUUGUAGUUUUGACUAUAAAUCUUUGCUUUUUAUAUUUGUGAUUCCAUGUUUGUUCAUUU